rnacentral:lncRNA from 1 species
UAGUCUCUUCCUAUAUUACAUCGUCACUCCUUUCUUUCCUUUCAUCUCAUAAAAACAUUCAUGAAGGCGAGAAAACUCUUGAGAAAGAUGAAAAUGAACGGUUUAAUUUUUGUACUGAAUUCAAGAGGUGGCAAUGAGGAAAGGGAAGCAAUCCAUCACCUCUUUAUAGCUCAGACGGGAUGGCAACCUUCGGAGAAAAUAGCAAACCGGGGGAUAGAAACCGAGGGCUUUUCAUGGAAGAAGAUAAGGCAGUCGAGGUUAAAGAAGUUCGGCAGAGUCAUUCACAUGAUGCAUCUUUAGACGGAAAAGACCCAUCCCUUCAUCUUGCAAAGAGGCAUAGAGAUUGCAGAGAAAUUCCGGGCCUCCCCCAAGUUACGCUGCUAACAGGGACGGGGUUUGGAACUACAACUUGGAGUCGGCCCCCUCCCUCCUGCCCUUCUUGGGAGAUUGCUGAAUACAGCUGGACCUGCCUUCAUUGCGUCUCCCAUUCCGUUUCAAGUCAGCUUUCCUUCAAAGCCUCCAUCACGAGGCUUUCGAUGUUCGGAAAAAACAAGACCACGUUGCCAUCCAUGGUCCUGUUAAUACACGUGACUUUGUUUUUUGUUUUUGUUUUGUUUUGUUUUUUAAUUUUUUUAAUGUUUAUUUAUUUUUGAGACAGAGAGAGACGGAGCACGAACAGGGGAGGGUCAGAGAGAGAGGGAGACACAGAAUCCAAGGCAGGCUCCAGGCUCUGAGCUGUCAGCACAGAGCCUGACAUGGGGCUUGAACUCACAGAUGGCGAGAUCAUGACCUGGGCCAAAGUCGGACGCUCAACAGACUGAGCCCCCCAGGCGCCCCAAUACACGUGACUUUGAGGUAGGCAGUGGGCACCUGCCGGCUCCUCUCGCACUGACAUUACCGAACAUGGAUACCCACCACAGCCUGGCCCCCAAAGGAAAAAAAGAGGAAAUCCUCUUGAAUACUCUUCAUCAUCAAUCUUCAUUUUCAGAGAUGUUUCGUUUGCAGACAUUCCUCAGACAAAACUCAGGACACACUGUGUUAAGGUUGAUCUUCUAAGAAAGCAGCUCUUUAUUCUUUCCCUCUGGUGGCUUCAGUCCGGUGAUCCCACCUCUCUGUGCCUUCCUUUCCUUUUCUGGAAAGUGAGGCUAAUAGCACUUACCUCAAAGGCCGGUUGGCAGAAUCGAAUGAGCUAAAGUUCAAAUCCCUCAGAGUAAGGACUGGUCCCUGGUCGGACCCAAAUAACAGCUGUUCACAAUUUUUCCCUCGAAAAAUACUAACGUUGUAGAUGAGCUAUCACAUGGCUUCUAGAUUAGAUUACCUUUUAGAAUAACUGCACCCGGUUAGCUGUGGACCAUGGACAAACAAUAGUGAACAGUACGUAUUGAUCAUAAGAAACCAGACAGCCAGUUUUGCCGUGUUCCACACUCACGUCCAGUCCGACGUGCACAGAACUUCAUCACCAGGCAGGGGGGUGUUUGAACUCAGAUCUUGUUCUUUCUGCCUUAGCACCCAAUCUGAGACUCUAGGAGAUUUGUGACUCUAAUGUUUGCAGUGUUCCUUGGAAAUAGUUAACAUUCG